rnacentral:rRNA from 1 species
GACGAACGCUGGCGGCGUGCCUAAUACAUGCAAGUAGAACGCUGAAGGAGGAGCUUGCUUCUCUGGAUGAGUUGCGAACGGGUGAGUAACGCGUAGGUAACCUGCCUGGUAGCGGGGGAUAACUAUUGGAAACGCUAGCUAAUACCGCAUAAUAGUAGAUGUUGCAUGACAUUUGCUUAAAAGGUGCAAUUGCAUCACUACCAGAUGGACCUGCGUUGUAUUAGCUAGUUGGUGGGGUAACGGCUCACCAAGGCGACGAUACAUAGCCGACCUGAGAGGGUGAUCGGCCACACUGGGACUGAGACACGGCCCAGACUCCUACGGGAGGCAGCAGUAGGGAAUCUUCGGCAAUGGACGGAAGUCUGACCGAGCAACGCCGCGUGAGUGAAGAAGGUUUUCGGAUCGUAAAGCUCUGUUGUAAGGGAAGAACGAGUGUGAGAGUGGAAAGUUCACGCUGUGACGGUAUCUUACCAGAAAGGGACGGCUAACUACGUG